AGGUUAUGGCAUGUGUCAGGUUAAUCUGAACCUCGGGUGGAGAGCGGGACAGCAACGUUCUACAUUGGUGCGCUUACGGCAAUCCAAAAGACUGCCAAAAUCAACUGUCAAGAGAAACUCGUGCUGCUUGCCUCACUUCAGUUUCCCCAGCGCCAGUGUGUGUCAGACUUCAGUUAAUGCAGGUAAGUGCAGUUGACACGUUUUUAUAUUAAAUACAACCGCCGAUGACUUAAGAGAUGAGGCAUUUUGUGUUAUCGGUUUUCAUGUUGAUUUCAUAGGUCUGUGACCGUCGGUUUCCGUCUUAUGCGCUGAAACUUCUAUACUCUUUUAACAGGAGCUAAAACACAAACGUCUGUGACACACAACUGUGACAUUUAAUCUUAGUUGCUACCCUCAUACUCAGUAACGGUUGAUUAAGUGUUGUUCUGUGGUUGAAAUUCACUUUCAGAUAUCAAUGCCAAGGGAAUUUCAAUCAAAGAACAACAACACUAGCAAUCCCAGCUAACUGGCCAACGAUAGCUAGCAAAAGCCGGGAGCUAGCUAACUCAGGCAUGGAGCAUCUUCUACCUAUUGGCACAAAGCAGAGCACUAUCUAGCAAUAUCUGUCUGUCACGGAAAGUGUUUGACUCACUGUAAUUCUAGCCUACUACUGAAGCAAUCGAGUGAAUCUGCUUUUUUCUACAUUGUCUUUUCAGAUGUGCUGCUGCUGAAGGCAGUCACCCGGUGGAGGAACUUGUUUUUUGACAGGCAUACUACAGAUGCUGUGCUGCGAACGGACACUGCAGUCACCUGUGGGAGGGGUCAAUCAAAUCGGAUCUCAAAAACAGAUGUCGCGAAUCUGAUCUGAUCUACCUACCUCUAUGUGGCAAUAGAGUACCUGCUUUUACUGGCCAGGGGACCAAGAUGAAAACAAGAGGCCUGUACCCAGACAUCCAAGCACCCAUCAAGUCACCCAG